rnacentral:rRNA from 1 species
AUGUGCCUCCUCCCGCGUCGAUCUACUUCACUAGGUCCUCCUCACCCCUCACAUGCCCUGCCAGGAGCGGCGGUGCAACAGCGACGAUGCUGCACGAGAUCAAACCAGAGGAAUGUGAUCCACAUUUGUCUUUGCUUCCAUGUCCACGGGAGAAAAUUGCUGAACAUUUUGUCAUCCCCAGAUUUCCUCCCCACGGUGUAUGGUCUUUGCAUGAGAAGCACAGAUGGGCAUGCCGACAUGGACCAUAUCAGGUCAUUGCCCUAUUCUUUCCACAUUUUUUAUGUCAUAUUUCAAAUUUUCAAUUCAUUUGUUUUCCAUAUUGCUCAUGUUCAUAGCAUUUCUGUUGGGCACUUAUCCGUUGAUAAUUUAUCAUUCCUCUAUUAA